CAGGAUCUGUUGCACUAAUGGCUUGGCCCCUGGUGGGGGCAGACUGAGCCUUAGGGGCCAAUCAAAAGAUCACAGCGAUUGAGGUGCAGCAUAAGGAAUCAGGCUCUUCAUCAGGGCCAGCCCAAGAAGUUCUGCUUCCAUUGACGAAGGCCAAGAUGACACCCUCUCGACUCCGUGUUUCAGAGCCAACUCGACUGUAACCCAUCAAGUCCAGCAUCCUUCUCAACGGCAACAGCUCUCUUCCCUCCAGGGUUUCCAGCACUGCCUCUGACAGCAAGGUUUAGUAGCUAGAGAUAGUCUUAUCCUUCAUGAAUUUGCCACUUUGAAACCCUCUUUUUGUGGGGAUGAUUAGGGAGGCAGGAGAGGAUAUACAGUGGUACCUCAGAUUAAGUACUUAAUUCGUUCCGGAGGUCCGUUCUUAACCUGAAACUGUUCUU